UACAGAGGGGGCAAGCGUUGUUCGGAAUUACUGGGCGUAAAGGGCGCGUAGGCGGCCAACUAAGUCGGACGUGAAAUCCCUCAGCUUAACUGGGGAACUGCGUCCGAUACUGGAUGGCUUAGAUUUGGGAGAGGGAUGCGGAAUUCCAGGUGUAGCGGUGAAAUGCGUAGAUAUCUGGAGGAACACCGGUGGCGAAGGCGGCGAUCCUGGACCAAUAUUGACGCUGAGGAGCGAAAGCCAGGGGAGCAAACGGG
rnacentral:rRNA from 1 species